rnacentral:rRNA from 1 species
UUUUGGACAAUGGGCGAAAGCCUGAUCCAGCCAUUCCGCGUGAGUGAAGAAGGCCUUCGGGUUGUAAAGCUCUUUCGCCCCCCCCCGAAACGAUGCAGUCGAAUAAACUGUGUUAAUGACGGUACCUUGAUAAGAAGCACCGGCUAACUACGUGCCAGCAGCCGCGGUAAUACGUAGGGUGCAAGCGUUAAUCGGAAUUACUGGGCGUAAAGCGCGCGCAGGCGGUUUUGUAAGUCAGAUGUGAAAUCCCCGAGCUCAACUUGGGCACCCGCGUUUGAAACUACAAGACUAGAAUAUGUCAGAGGGGGGUAGAAUUCCACGUGUAGCAGUGAAAUGCGUAGAGAUGUGGAGGAAUACCAAUGGCGAAGGGAGCCCCCUGGGAUAAUAUUGACGCUCAUGCACGAAA